UCAGAACGUACGCUGGCGGCACGCCUAACACAUGCAAGUCGAACGCAGUAGCAAUACUGAGUGGCAGACGGGUGAGUAACAUGUGGGAAUCUGCCUUGUGGUUCAGGACAACAUUGGGAAACCGAUGCUAAUACUGGAUAAGCCCUUACGGGGAAAGUUUUAACGCCAUAAGAUGAGCCCGCAUUUGAUUAGUUAGUUGGUGAGGUAAUGGCUCACCAAGACAAUGAUCAAUAGCUGAUCUGAGAGGAUGAUCAGCCACACUGGGACUGAGACACGGCCCAGACUCCUACGGGAGGCAGCAGUGGGGAAUCUUGCACAAUGGAGGAAACUCUGAUGCAGCGAUGCCGCGUGAGUGAAGAAGGCCUUUGGGUUGUAAAGCUCUUUUGUAGGGGAAGAUAAUGACUGUACCCUAAGAAUAAGGUCCGGCUAACUUCGUGCCAGCAGCCGCGGUAAUACGAAGGGACCUAGCGUAGUUCGGAAUUACUGGGCGUAAAGCGCGCGUAGGCCGUUGAGUUAGUUAAUUGUGAAAUCCCAAAGCUUAACUUUGGAACUGCAAUUAAAACUGCUCGACUAGAGUUUGAUAGAGGAAAGCGGAAUACAUAGUGUAGAGGUGAAAUUCGUAGAUAUUAUGUAGAACACCAGUUGCGAAGGCGGCUUUCUGGAUCAACACUAACGCUGAGGCGCGAAAGUAUGGGUAGCAAAGAGGAUUAGAUACCCUCGUAGUCCAUACCAUAAACGAUGAUUGCUAGAUGUUGGAAAUUUAUUUUCAGUAUCGCAGCUNACGCAUUAAGCAAUCCGNCUGGGGAGUACGANCGCANGGUUAAAACUCAAAUGAAUUGANGGGGACCCGCACAAGCGGUGGAGCAUGUGGUUUAAUUCGACGCAACGCGCAGAACCUUACCAGGACUUGAC
rnacentral:rRNA from 1 species